UCAGUUCGAAAUUGCUGCGGAUGGAGGACGUGAAGAAGAGCAGCAGCAGCAGCGAUCUGCAGUAGGAGAGCGUGGAGAGGAGCAGCAGAGAGGAAGACUAGGACAGUCACACGUACAAAUCUUCUUGUCCGAAAUUUUACAUGGACAUAAAAGCAAAAAUAGCAAAUAACACUAAUGAAUUCCUCACUUCAACUAAGGUCCACAUUUUCAGAUCAGUGACUCUUUCAUUAUCCAUCGAACCUGCAUGCGGAAGCAAUAUAGUAAUAAGUUUCAUGUGCGAAAUCUAGACAUCAGAUUGUACACCAUUUCCUAACAAUGGUAAACUUGACAUCCAACAUCACAGAAUGACAAUAAAUUUGUGAACACAUAGUACAGCUAGGUAAUAUCUGUGAAGACAUAGUGCAUCACAAGCAGUAAAUAGUAUAACUAGCUUUCACCUCUUGUACGACAGCCGCUAGCAAGUUCAAAUAGUCCAAUUCAAUUGUUGAUCGAUUGAAUUUUCAUCAUGAUACAACACCAGCUGCAGCUGCCAAGGUUCAGCUAGUCCCAAAGUUCAAGGAUUUAUUUUUCUUUCUUGGUUGACUAAAACCGGCAAGGAGCUAAGCUGAGAGGAACACAACAAACACUCAAGCCAAGUAAAAUAAAGCAUUGAUCUUCCAGGAAACCAAGAGGCUAAACAGAGAGGCAUUCACAUGUUAAGGGAAAGAAAUGGAAGUCAACAAUAAGUUUAAUCAAGGUGCAUCUUCAGAGUGACACCUUUGUGCAUUUUCAAACUAUUGUCCA
rnacentral:lncRNA from 1 species